GGCACAGUAGUGCAGUGGGUAGCAGUACUGCCUUACAGUAAGAAGGUCUUGGGUUCGAAUCCGGCGUGUGGCC